AUUGAACGCUGGCGGCAGGCUUAACACAUGCAAGUCGAGCGGAGAUGAGGUGCUUGCACCUUAUCUUAGCGGCGGACGGGUGAGUAAUGCUUAGGAAUCUGCCUAUUAGUGGGGGACAACAUUCCGAAAGGAAUGCUAAUACCGCAUACGCCCUACGGGGGAAAGCAGGGGAUCUUCGGACCUUGCGCUAAUAGAUGAGCCUAAGUCGGAUUAGCUAGUUGGUGGGGUAAAGGCCUACCAAGGCGACGAUCUGUAGCGGGUCUGAGAGGAUGAUCCGCAACACUGGGACUGAGACACGGCCCAGACCCCUACGGGAGGCAGCAGUGGGGAAUAUUGGACAAUGGGCGGAAGCCUGAUCCAGCCAUGCCGCGUGUGUGAAGAAGGCCUUUUGGUUGUAAAGCACUUUAAGCGAGGAGGAGGCUACCUGGAUUAAUACUCUAGGAUAGUGGACGUUACUCGCAGAAUAAGCACCGGCUAACUCUGUGCCAGCCGCCGCGGUAACAC
rnacentral:rRNA from 1 species